rnacentral:SRP_RNA from 1 species
CGGCGGGAAAAGCCCCUGGGGGCUGCCCCUCCCCUGCACCGCAAACGGGGCAUACGGCGGGGGGCGUUAACCCCGAGGAUAUGUACGCGCAGCGCACCGAAGCGCCACCGCUUCGACGGCUAUGAAGCCCCAGUCCCCGUGGACGGUCACCGGUGGUAGACCCUCCGGAGGGAGGGUCGAACCACCGCACCGCCGAACCGGGUUAGGCCCGGAAGGGAGCGGCCCUAAGGCGGGGUGGCCGUGUUGCGGGGGGUGCUGGGGUUAGCCGCGGGCGGGCGUUUUGGUGCGUGCCCGCGCGUGCCCCCUCGGGGGAGGCCGCCG